AUUGAACGAUGGCGGCAGGCCUAACACAUGCAAGUCGAAAGAGUGGAGGAAGGGUGAGUAAUGUCUGGGAAACUGCCUGAUGGAGGGGGAUAACUACUGGAAACGGUAGCUAAUACCGCAUACCAUAAGAUGUUCCCAGAUGGGAUUAGCUAGUUGGUGGGGUAACGGCUCACCACGGCGACGAUCCCUAGCUGGUCUGAGAGGAUGACCGGCAACACUGGAACGGAGACACGGUCCAGACUCCUACGGGAGGCAGCAUUGGGUAAUAUGGCACAAGGGGCGCAAGCCUUAUGCAGCCAUGCCGCGUGGAUGAAGAAUGCCUUCGGUUUGUAAUGUACUUUCAGCGGGGCCGCUUUACCGGCAGAAGAAGCCCCGGCGAACUCCGUUCCCGCAGCCGCGGUAAUAC
rnacentral:rRNA from 1 species